rnacentral:tRNA from 1 species
GGAAGGGGAUCGUGCCCGGUGGUGCGCUCGGUCUUCAAAACCGGUGGGGGGCGCCAGGCGUUCCCGGUGGGUUCGACUCCCACUCUCUUCCGCCA